rnacentral:rRNA from 1 species
UUGGAGGGCAAGUCUGGUGCCAGCAGCCGCGGUAAUUCCAGCUCCAAUAGCGUAUAUUAAAGUUGUUGCAGUUAAAAAGCUCGUAGUUGAAUUUCGGGAUUCAUCCGUUGGUCGGGCCUCACGGUCCGUACUGGUGUGAUGGGUUCCUACCUUCUGAAUAACCGGCAUGUCAUUAAUUUGGUGGGCCGGGGAAGCAGAACUAUUACCUUGAAAAAAUUAGAGUGCUUAAAGCAGGCAAGUGCCUGAAUAGGUUAGCAUGGAAUAAUAAAAUAGGACGGCAUGGUUCUAUUUUGUUGGUUUCUAGGAUCACCGUAAUGAUUAAUAGGGAUAGUUGGGGGCAUUAGUAUUCAAUUGUCAGAGGUGAAAUUCUUGGAUUUAUUGAAGACUAACUUCUGCGAAAGCAUUUGCCAAGGAUGUUUUCGUUAAUCAAGAACGAAAGUUAGGGGAUCGAAGACGAUCAGAUACCGUCGUAGUCUUAACCAUAAACUAUGCCGACUAGGGAUCGGACGAUGUUAAUUUUUCUUGACUCGUUCGGCGCCUUACGGGAAAC